rnacentral:rRNA from 1 species
GACGAACGCUGGCGGCGUGCUUUAACACAUGCAAGUCGAGCGGUAAGGCCCUUCGGGGUACACGAGCGGCGAACGGGUGAGUAACACGUGGGUGAUCUGCCUUGCACUUUGGGAUAAGCCUGGGAAACUGGGUCUAAUACCGGAUAUGACCACUGAUCGCAUGGUUGGUGGUGGAAAGAUUUAUCGGUGUGAGAUGGGCCCGCGGCCCAUCAGCUUGUUGGUGGGGGUAAUGGCCUACCAAGGCGACGACGGGUAGCCGGCCUGAGAGGGCGACCGGCCACACUGGGACUGAGACACGGCCCAGACUCCUACGGGAGGCAGCAGUGGGGAAUAUUGCACAAUGGGCGAAAGCCUGAUGCAGCGACGCCGCGUGAGGGAUGACGGCCUUCGGGUUGUAAACCUCUUUCGACAGGGACGAAGCGAGAGUGACGGUACCUGUAGAAGAAGCACCGGCCAACUACGUG